rnacentral:tRNA from 1 species
GGGUCAUUAGCUCAGCUGGUAGAGCGGCUCCCUUUUAAGGAGAAGGUCACAGGUUCGAUUCCUGUAUGACCCACCA